rnacentral:rRNA from 1 species
UACAGAGGUCUCAAGCGUUGUUCGGAUUCAUUGGGCGUAAAGGGUGCGUAGGCGGCGCGGUAAGUCGGGUGUGAAAUUUCGAGGCUUAACUUCGAAACUGCAUUCGAUACUGCCGUGCUAGAGGACUGGAGAGGAGACUGGAAUUUACGGUGUAGCGGUGAAAUGCGUAGAUAUCGUAAGGAAGACCAGUGGCGAAGGCGGGUCUCUAGACAGUUCCUGACACUGAGGCACGAAGGCCAGGGGAGCAAACGGG